ACCAGAUUUAGACACACUAACAUAACUUACGACCUAUAUUUUUCAUCUUUUAAGAGAAGCCACACCUAUAGAAGGUAUCUCCACUACCUAUGUAAAAUGUGGAUUGGGCAUACACUUUGUUUAUGCAUAGGCCCUUACACAAAAUGUGGGAACAAUAAUACUUUCCAAGUUUCUAGGAUAAGUUGGGAAAAUAAAUGUAAAUGAAAUCAGGAAGGUACUGCUAUUGAUGAUGCAUUUAAGAUGUAUGAAAUCUGGAUAAUGACCCUUUAAUAUAUUACUCUCUAUCGUACUUUUUUCAGAGUAGGAGCCGUGUUAGUCUGUAUUCGCAAAAAAGAAAAGGAGUACUUGUGGCACCUUAGAGACUAACAAAUUUAUUUGAGCAUAAGCUUUUGUGAGCUACAGCAUCCGAUGAAGUGAGUUGUAGCUCACGAAAGCUUAUGCUCAAAUAAAUUUGUUAGUCUCUAAGAUGCCACAAGUCCUCCUCUUCUUUUUUAUCGUACUUUUGUUCCUCAACUUCAGAAGAAAAACAGCUUUCCAAACUGCUGGGAGUUCCCCCUAAUAGAGAAGGGCUAUAAGCUGGAGGCAGCACUUGCAUAAGUUAUUUUGGACAGUUACGAUGAUAACACAACAGACCAUUGCUGCUCUUUAUAAACCAAGUUUGUACUGUAUCCUGCUGUGAAAUUCACUGUGAUGUUCCUGUAAAUCCUCUUUAUAGCACAGUUUGUCUGGCACUUUAACAGCGCUAUAGCAACAUUAAGCACUGCAAGAAUGUAGUAGGUUUAUAAACUGAAUCAGCAAACCACUUUCAAAACUGUUUAAGAUCUGUGACCUUGGACAAUAGCGAUACCUAAACUAAUACUUAGCUCUAUGCUUAUCUUAAAAGGAAGUUUCUAGCUCUGUGUGUCAACCUAGCCCCACAGUCUGGACACCACUGCGCUACUGUUGGGCCAAAGCUGCAGCCCAUCUGAAACAAUGUCACUAAGCAGUUUGAAUGUCCCCCAUUCAUCUCUGUGGGCUGCUACCUUGAAAAUCUAAUUACUAUUGAAACAUGACAUUAACCAUUUCAUUCCUGACUCCACAAACAGUAAGAACAUAAGACUGGCCAUAGCAAUUCAGACCAAUGGUCCAUCUAGCCUAGUAUUCUGUCUUCCAACAGGGGCCAGUUCCAGAUGCUUCAGAGGGAAUGAACAGAACAAGGCAAUUUAUCAAGUAAAUCCAGCCCGCAUUGGCCAGUCCCAGCUUCUGGCAGUCAGACGUUUAGGGACAGCCAGAGCAUGGAGUUGCAUCCCUGAUCAUCUUGGAUAAGAGCCAUUGAUAGGCCUAUCCUCCAUGAACGCAUCAAAUUCUUUUUUGAACCCUGUUACACUUUUGGCAGACAAAACAUCCCAUGACGAGUUGACUGUGCGUUGUGUGAAGCACUACUUCCUAGUUUGUUUUAAACCUAUUAAUUUCAUUGGGUGACCUCCGGUUCUUGUGUUAUGUACAGGAGUAUAUAACACUUCCUUAUUCACUUUCUUCAUCAUUCAUGAUUUUACAGACCUCUACCAGAUCCCUGCUUAGUCAUAUCUUUUGUAAGAUGAACAGUACCCAUGCUUUUAAUCUCUCUUCAUGUAGAAGCUGUUCUAUACCCCUAAUCAUUUUUGUUGCCCUCUUCUGUACUUUUUCCAACUUUAAUAUAUCUUUUUUUGAGAUGGAGCAACCAGAACUGUACAUGGCAUUUAAGGUGUGGGUGUUCCAUGGAUUUCUGUAGUGGCAUUAUGAUCUUUUUGGGGUCUUAUCACUUUCCUAAUGGUUCUUAGCUUUCUGUUUUUGAUUGCCACUGCACCUUGACUGGAUGUUUUCAGAGAACUAUCCAUGAUGACUCCAAGAACUUUUUCUUGGGUGGUAACAGCUAAUUUAGACUCCAUUAGAUUAUGUGUGUAUUAAUUUGCAUUUAUUAACAUAUAAUUACAUCUGCCAUUUUGUUGCCUAGUGACCCAGUUUAGCAAGAGCCCUUUGUAACUCUUUGCAGUCAGUUUUGGACUUCACUAUUUUGAAUAAUUUUGUAUAACCUGCAAACUUUUCCACCUCACUGAUUAUCCCCUUUCCAGAUCAUUUAUGAAUAUGAUGAAAAGCACUGGUCCCAGUACAGAUCCUUGAGAGACCACACUAUUUACCUCUCUCCCUUCUGAAAACUGACCAUUUAUUCCUACCCUUUGUUUCCUAUCUUUUAACCUGUUAGUGAUCCAUGAAAGGACCUUCACUCUUAUCCCAUGACUGCUUAGUUUGCUUAAGACCCUUUGGUGUGGGACCUGGUUGGUCAAAGGCUUUCUGAAAGUCCCAGUACACUAUAUCAACUAGAGCACCCUGGUACACAUGCUUGUAGACCACCUCAAAGAAUUCUAAUAGACUAGUGAGGCAAGAUUUCCUUUUACAAAAGCAGCGUUGACUCUUCCCCCAACAUAUUGUGUUAUGUAUGUGUGGUAAUUCUGUUCUUUACUAUCGUUUCAGCCAGUGUGCCUAGUACUGAAGUUUGGCUUACUGGCCUACAAUUUCCAGGAUUGUCUCUGGAGCCUUUUUUAAAAAUUAGUGUCACAUUACCUAUCUACCAGUCAUCUGGCACAAAGGCUGAUUUAAGCAAUAGGUUACAUACCACAGUUAGCAGUUCUGCAAUUUCAUAUCUGUGUUCCUUCAGAACACUUGGGUGAUUACCAUCUAGUCCUGGCGAUUUAUUUCUGUUUAAUUUAUCAACUUGUUCCAAAACCUCAACCUCUGACACCUAAAUCUGAGAUGGUUCCUCAGAUUUGUCACCUAAACAUAAGGGCUCAGCUGUGGAAGGAGCUCUUCCUUACAUCCUCUGUAGUGAAGACUGAUACAAAGAAUUCAUUUAGCUUCUCCACAAGAGCCUUGUCUUGAGUGCUCCUUUAUCACCUCAAUCCUACAGUGGCCCCCACUGCUUGUUUGGCAGGUUUCCUGCUCCUCAUGCUUUCAGCUAACGCCCUCAGUUGGAGCAGUCAUCUGAAAGGAUGUUGCUGGGGGAAGAGCUGCUCUCUUUGAAUAGGCACAGAGUUGAAUAUCUACCAUGUAGCUUCUUGACAGAUUCAAGUAAAUGCUCUUCUUUUAAAAGUCAGGUAAGAGGCACAGCAGUCCUGUAUUCACUGUGCAGAAUCUUUUGAGGUAUCUUUGGUCCAACAGUAAAUCUCCUUAAUAAUUUAAUAAAUAUUUCUGAUGGACUUGCUGUGUUAGUGUCUUAGGUUAUUGGGUGUUGAAAGACAGUGCGUAACGUGAUCCUGAGUGGGUUGUAGUCUUCUGGCACGCAGCUGAGGGGUUUAUCUUUUCUUUACACAUUCACAAAGCUUGUACUGGCUCCUCAUGCAAACUAAGGUGAGAGGCUGGCGGAUCAGUAGAGGGGAAAGCCUGGAGGGGGAAAUAGUGCAGGUUUGAAGGGGAAGCUACUAUAGGAGAUUUCUAUUGUUCCUGCCUCUAAAACAAACUUUCACCACUGAAAUAAGGACUUGGAGACAAUGGAUCAGAUGCUGGACUUCCCUCCCCCUCUCACCACACCCACCCCAGCGUCUCACUGUGCAGGAAAAUCCUUGGCUGAUGCAGGAGCUGCGUAGACGCUCCAAUGUCACUCCUAUUUUGGCCCUUGGCUGGUGUCCCUGCACCACCCCAAGUGGCAGAGUGGCCCUUGGAGCCCUGGACAGCUGGGCAUAAGUUAGGGCCUCUAGGCUGCCCUAAUUUACACUAAGGCAGAGAUUCUUAAACUUCAUUGCACCACGACUCCCUUCUGACAACAAAAAUUACCACAUGACCGCCCACCCCCUCAAGCUUUGGUUUCAGCCUUCAGUGAAGGGGCUCGGGCUUUGGCUUCAGCAAGUCUAACACUGGCCCUGGUGACCCCAUUAAAAUGGGAUCACGAUCCACUUUGGGGUUCCCACUCCUGACCCACAGUUUGAGAACCACUGCACUAGGGACUGAGCUAGCCUCAAGAUUGAGCAGUAAGCACAGGGAGAUCUAGGCCAGAGUAUAAACAAUUAGUGACUUUAUUCAGAGGCCCUGGCAAGAUAACAUUUGGAACAGUUCUGGUCAGAAUAAAUAUUGACAUAGUUGUUGCUGCCCGGCUUUCAACAGGGCCUCUCCCUACUAAACAUGAAUAUGCUGAGCCCUAGAAGCGAAACUACACCGGUUCUAGCACAAAACGCCUUUAUCUGCCCUACACUUGUAACAGAGGUGGGGGAGUGAGUUACAACUAACAGCUGUAGUGCACACAGCAACCAACCCAUCCCCAGAAGCAGAUUAAAAUCCUGGAUGGGUUGGGCUUUAGCCUUGUUAGGGGGCCCUGGUUUGGUUCCAUCUCCAUUACAACUUUUAACCAUGCUAUAGCCAGCUCAGCUGUCGAGGGAGACGGACUGACCCAGAAAAGCAUUUUGUUGCUUUGCAAAAUAGUUGGGGUGGGCGUAACCUCAGAGUUGUGCUCUCUAGGCAAGAAAGAACAAGAGAGGUGCAAAAGGAGCAGGAGACAAGGAGGGACAAUAACAAAAUUACAAACUACAUCAUUCUUGCACCCACAUGGGAGCAGCACCCAACAGCAGCUGUGGAGGUACAAAGGGUAGACGAUAGGUUAUGUGGCUGUUGUAUUACAUUGCAUAACUGUCCCACAGGGACAUCAUUCUGAAAGCUAGAGCAGGAGUUUCAAAACAAAGGGAUACACAGUUGAAAGUCUGGUCACUUUGCUUUGACUGGGAGCUCUCCAUAGACUUUACAUUGAGAUGCGCCAUAGCCACAACAGCUGCUGGAAAUUAACCUGAGAAGUCACGGGACCUGCAAUCCACCCUCAUGCAUCUCUAUGUCUAGAACAUAGAAGUUCUGCUAGUUAAAGGGGAGGACUGCUUCCCUCCUUCAUUCAGCUCUCCAUGAAAAGCAAGAUUUCCUAAGGCAUGUUUCCCCACUGCACCCAACACCAGUCAAAAACACUAUUUCUAAUCACGUCUCUCCCCAUAUCUCUCAAGCAGCUGAAUUAAUUCCUGUUUUAAAUUGUGUGAAACAUUUGCAAAAGCCGAAGAUGAUUUUAUAGAUAUUUCUUCAAUAGGUGACUUCAUCAGUAUGUCACGGGAUCACAUGGCAUAUAUAGGAAAUAUUUAGGGACUGGGCUUUCUCAUAUACAAACAAGCCGUUCUCUGAAUAGCCAAGAAGCCUUGGCACACGUUUCAUUUUACAUCUCACUGAAUUAGGUGGAAAUGCAGGCACAUCUGUAAGUCUAGUAUUCCUUACAGAAUGCUAACAAGUAUGGUGUGCUUAAAAUUUUUUUAAAAACAUUGCCUUUUUAUUUCCAUAGGUACACACAACUUGUACAUUCCAUUGGGUCUCCCCGCGGCAUAGUAUAAUAGAGAACCCACAGCAAACAGUGAUUACUGGUUCCUUAACGUUCUUAGAAAUGGAACUACAUAGAACCCGAUACCACCAGAUGCAGGAAAUGAAAUACUCUGUGCUUUCCAAAGCUUUUGUUAUUUCCCAGAUCCUGCUACCCACCCCUCCACCCCGCUCUAUAAAACACGUUAGUGAGACUUUGCGUAAAGAAAACAUCUGAAGAGCAACAAAUAAAAUAAUUGGCUGUCUUAAGAUCUGCCUUCUAACAGUGACUAAACUUGUUUCUCUCUCUCUUCCCCCCCCCCCCCGCCCCCAGCUACAUUUUCUUGUUUGAACUGCUUUGCUGUAAAUAAUUGUCCAGGAAGGGUCUUCCAGUUAUCUGACUUCUCUGUCUAAUCAGUUCAUCUUUAGGUUAAAACUACAUGACAUUUCAACAUUCACAAUAAAUAAUAAUAAUUAAAAAAAAAA